rnacentral:rRNA from 1 species
AGAGUGAACGCUGGCGGCAGGCCUAACACAUGCAAGUCGAACGGCAGCACAGGGGAGCUUGCUCCCUGGGUGGCGAGUGGCGGACGGGUGAGGACAACGUCGGAAUCUGCCUUUUUGUGGGGGAUAACGUAAGGAAACUUACGCUAAUACCGCAUACGACCCCGGGCCGGGAGGUACGGGGUGAAAGCGGAGGACCUUCGGGCUUCGCGCAGAGAGAUGAGCCGACGUCGGAUUAGCUAGUUGGUGGGGUAAAGGCCCACCAAGGCGACGAUCCGUAGCUGGUCUGAGAGGAUGAUCAGCCACACUGGAACUGAGACACGGUCCAGACUCCUACGGGAGCAGCAGUGGGAAUAUUGGACAAUGGGCGCAAGCCUGACUCCAGCCAUGCCGCGUGUGUGAAG